rnacentral:rRNA from 1 species
UACGAAGGGUCCAAGCGUUAUCCGGAUUUAUUGGGUUUAAAGGGUGCGUAGGCGGCUUAUUAAGUCAGUGGUGAAAGCCUGUUGCUUAACAACAGAACUGCCAUUGAUACUGUCAAUCUUGAAUAUGUUUGAUGUGGGCGGAAUAUGACAUGUAGCGGUGAAAUGCUUAGAUAUGUCAUAGAACACCGAUUGCGAAGGCAGCUCACAAAGCCAUUAUUGACGCUGAGGCACGAAAGCGUGGGGAUCAAACAGG